GAGAGACAGGACUAGCUGGAUUUCCUAGUCCAACUAAGAAUUCCUAAGACUAGCUGGGAAGGUGACCACACCCACCUUUAAACACGGGGCUUUUAACUCAACUCACAUCCAACCAAUCAGGUAGUAAAGAGGGCUCACUAAAAUACAAUUAGGUUAAAAGCAGGAGGUAAAGAAAUAGACAAAUCAUAUAUCACCUGAAAGCACAGGGUAAGGGACAAUGGGAUAUAAACCCCAGGCAUUUGAGCCGGGAGUGGGCAACCCCCUUUGGGUCCCCUCCCAUUGUAUGGGAGCUCUGUUUUCACUCUAUUAAAUCUUGCAACUGCACACUCUUCUGGUCCGUGUUUGUUAUGGCUCAAGCUGAGCUUUCGCUUGCUGUCCACCACUGCUGUUUGCUGCUGUCGCAGACCCGCCGCUGACUUCCACCCCUCCGGAUCUGGCAGGGUGUCCGCUGUGUUUCUGAUCCAGUGAGGCACCCAUUGCUGCUCUCAAUUGGGCUACAGGCUCGCCAUUGUUCCUGCAUAGCUAAGUGCCUAGGUUUGUCCUAAUCGAGCUGAACACUAGUCACUGGGUUCCACGGUUCUCUUCCGUGACCCACGGCUUCUAACAGAGGUGUAACACUCACUGCAUGGCCCUAGGUUCCAUUCCUUGGAAUAUGUGAAGCCAAGAACCCCAGGUCAAAGAAUAAAAGACUUGCCGCCAUCUUGGGAGCAGCCUGCCACCAUAUCAUGGGAGCUCUAAGAACAAAGACCCACCCGUAACAUUUGGUGGCCUCGUCUGGGGAUUCUCCAAAGCUAGCCCCAGAUGCAGUUCAUGACUAAGAUCUACCACGGACCCCUGGACCAGCCUGCUAGCACAUGCUAUGAUGUUGAUGACACCGAAGGCACCCCUCCUGAGGAAAUCUCAACUGCAUGACCCCUACUACGCCCCAAUUCAGCAGGAAGCAGUUAGAGUGGUCAUUGGCCAACCUCCCCUACAGCACUUGGGUUUUCCUGUUGGGGGGUACUGAGAGACAGGACUAGCUGGAUUUCCUAGUCCAACUAAGAAUUCCUAAGACUAGCUGGGAAGGUGACCACACCCACCUUUAAACACGGGGCUUCUAACUCAGCUCACAUCCAACCAAUCAGGUAGUAAAGAGGGCUCACUAAAAUACAAAUUAGGCUAAAAGCAGGAGGUAAAGAAAUAAGUCAAAUCAUAUAUCGCCUGAGAGCACAGGGGAAGGGACAAUGAUUGGGAUAUAAACCCCAGGCAUUUGAGCCGGGAGUGGGCAACCCCCUUUGGGUCCCCUCCCAUUGUAUGAGAGCUCUGUUUUCACUCUAUUAAAUCUUGCAACUGCACACUCUUCUGGUCCGUGAUUUUUAUAGCUCAAACUGAGCUUUGGCUCACUCUCCACCACUGCUGUUUGCUGCUGUCGCAGACCCGCCGCUGACUUCCACCCCUCCAGAUCUGGCAGGGUGUCCGCUGUGUUUCUGAUCCAGUGAGGCACCCAUUGCCGCUCUCGACUGGGCUAAAGGCUCACCAUUGUUCCUGCAUUGCUAAGUGCCCAGGUUCAUCCUAAUCAAGCUGAACAUUAGUCACUGGGUUCCACAGUUCUCUUCCGUGACCCACAGCUUAUAAUAGAGGUAUAACACUCACUGCAUGGCCCUAGGUUCCAUUCCUUGGAAUCCGUGAGGUCAAGAACCCCAGGUCAGAGAACAAAAGGCUUGCCGCCAUCUUGGGAGCAGCCCACUCCAUCUUAGGAGCAGCCUGCCACCAUCUUGGGAGCUCUAAGAACAAAGACCCACCUGUAACAAAAUCACCUCCACAAUCAAGAAAGAGAACUUUCUAGCACCUAAAACUUUCCACCUGCCCUUUGCAAACUACCUCUUCCUCAAUUUCCAGCUUCAGACAUCCACUGAUCUGCUUUCUGUCACUAUAAUUUAAUUUUCAUUAUCUAGAAUUUUAUAUAAAUGAAAAACAGUAUGUAUUUUUGUGUCUGGCUUCUCUCUUUAAGCAUAAUGAUUCUGAGUUUCAUCACAUUGUUGCAUUUUUAUGAGUACACUCUACUGUAUGGAUAUACCACAUUUGUUUAUACAUUCAGCUGUUGACGGACACUGAAUUGGUUUUUAGGCUACAGUGAAUCAAGAUGCUGUGAACAUUUGUGUACAAAUCUUUGUGAGAACAUGUCUUCAUUUCUCUUGUGUAAAUACUUAGCGGAAUGGCUGAGUUAUAUG
rnacentral:lncRNA from 10 species